UUUUACAAAAACAUGUUCUUUUGUUUUAAAUAAAAGAUUUAACCUGCUCUAUGAUUAUUAAAUGGCUGCAGUAUUUUGACUGUACAAAGGUAGCAUAAUAAUUUGUCUUUUAAUUGAAGACUGGUAUGAAUGGUUGGAUGAGAAAUAUACUUUCUUUAUUUUAUAUAAAAAAAUUGAUUUUUUAGUUAAAAAGCUAAAAUAUUUUUAUAGGACGAGAAGACCCUAUAGAACUUUACUUUGAUAUAAAUAUACUAUUUAUAUAUUUUUAAAAUUUUAUAUUUUUAUUAAAGUUUUGUUGGGGUGACAAAAAAAAUUAUAUAACUUUUUUUUAUUAAAUCAUUAAUUUAUGUUUUUUGAUCCUUUAUUAUGGAAAAUAAGAUUAAGUUACCUUAGGGAUAACAGCGUUAUUUUUUUGGAGAGUUCAUAUUGAUAAAGAAGUUUGCGACCUCGAUGUUGGAUUAAAAUAAGUUACAGGGGUAUAAUAUUGUAUACUAGGUCUGUUCGACCUUUAAAUUUUUACAUGAUCUAGUUUCCACC
rnacentral:rRNA from 1 species